rnacentral:rRNA from 1 species
GAUGAACGCUGGCGGCGUGCCUAAUACAUGCAAGUAGAACGCUGAAGGAAGGAGCUUGCUCUUUCCGGAUGAGUUGCGAACGGGUGAGUAACGCGUAGGUAACCUGCCUGGUAGCGGGGGAUAACUAUUGGAAACGAUAGCUAAUACCGCAUAACAGUAGAUGUUGCAUGAUAUCUACUUAAAAGGUGCAAUUGCACCACUACCAGAUGGACCUGCGUUGUAUUAGCUAGUUGGUGAGGUAACGGCUCACCAAGGCGACGAUACAUAGCCGACCUGAGAGGGUGAUCAGCCACACUGGGACUGAGACACGGCCCAGACUCCUACGGGAGGCAGCAGUAGGGAAUCUUCGGCAAUGGACGGAAGUCUGGCCGAGCAACGCCGCGUGAGUGAAGAAGGUUUUCGGAUCGUAAAGCUCUGUUGUAAGAGAAGAACGAGUGUGAGAGUGGAAAGUUCACACUGUGACGGUAUCUUACCAGAAAGGGACGGCUAACUACGU